rnacentral:miRNA from 1 species
GAAUCGGAAAGGAGGCGCCG